rnacentral:rRNA from 1 species
GCUACACAUGCAGUCGAGCGGUAACACAGAGAGCUUGCUCUCGGGUGACGAGCGGCGGACGGGUGAGUAAUGUCUGGGAAACUGCCUGAUGGAGGGGGAUAACUACUGGAAACGGUAGCUAAUACCGCAUAACGUCGCAAGACCAAAGUGGGGGACCUUCGGGCCUCAUGCCAUCAGAUGUGCCCAGAUGGGAUUAGCUAGUAGGUGGGGUAAUGGCUCACCUAGGCGACGAUCCCUAGCUGGUCUGAGAGGAUGACCAGCCACACUGGAACUGAGACACGGUCCAGACUCCUACGGGAGGCAGCAGUGGGGAAUAUUGCACAAUGGGCGCAAGCCUGAUGCAGCCAUGCCGCGUGUAUGAAGAAGGCCUUCGGGUUGUAAAGUACUUUCAGCGAGGAGGAAGGCAUUAAGGUUAAUAACCUUGGUGAUUGACGUUACUCGCAGAAGAAGCACCGGCUAACUCCGUGCCAGCAGCCGCGGUAAUACGGAGGGUGCAAGCGUUAAUCGGAAUUACUGGGCGUAAAGCGCACGCAGGCGGUCUGUCAAGUCGGAUGUGAAAUCCCCGGGCUCAACCUGGGAACUGCAUUCGAAACUGGCAGGCUAGAGUCUUGUAGAGGGGGGUAGAAUUCCAGGUGUAGCGGUGAAAUGCGUAGAGAUCUGGAGGAAUACCGGUGGCGAAGGCGGCCCCCUGGACAAAGACUGACGCUCAGGUGCGAAAGCGUGGGGAGCAAACAGGAUUAGAUACCCUGGUAGUCCACGCCGUAAACGAUGUCGACUUGGAGGUUGUGCCCUUGAGGCGUGGCUUCCGGAGCUAACGCGUUAAGUCGACCGCCUGGGGAGUACGGCCGCAAGGUUAAAACUCAAAUGAAUUGACGGGGGCCCGCACAAGCGGUGGAGCAUGUGGGUUUAAUUCGAUGCAACGCGAAGAACCUUACCUACUCUUGACAUCCAGAGAACUUAGCAGAGAUGCUUUGGUGCCUUCGGGAACUCUGAGACAGGUGCUGCAUGGCUGUCGUCAGCUCGUGUUGUGAAAUGGUUGGGGUUAAGUCCCGCAACGAGCGCAACCCUUAUCCUUUGUUGCCAGCGAUUCGGUCGGGAACUCAAAGGGGGCAUGCGCGCUACACAUGCAGUCGAGCGGUACACAGAGAGCUUGCUCUCGGGUGACGAGCGGCGGACGGGUGAGUAAUGUCUGGGAAACUGCCUGAUGGAGGGGGAUAACUACUGGAAACGGUAGCUAAUACCGCAUAACGUCGCAAGACCAAAGUGGGGGACCUUCGGGCCUCAUGCCAUCAGAUGUGCCCAGAUGGGAUUAGCUAGUAGGUGGGGUAAUGGCUCACCUAGGCGACGAUCCCUAGCUGGUCUGAGAGGAUGACCAGCCACACUGGAACUGAGACACGGUCCAGACUCCUACGGGAGGCAGCAGUGGGGAAUAUUGCACAAUGGGCGCAAGCCUGAUGCAGCCAUGCCGCGUGUAUGAAGAAGGCCUUCGGGUUGUAAAGUACUUUCAGCGAGGAGGAAGGCAUUAAGGUUAAUAACCUUGGUGAUUGACGUUACUCGCAGAAGAAGCACCGGCUAACUCCGUGCCAGCAGCCGCGGUAAUACGGAGGGUGCAAGCGUUAAUCGGAAUUACUGGGCGUAAAGCGCACGCAGGCGGUCUGUCAAGUCGGAUGUGAAAUCCCCGGGCUCAACCUGGGAACUGCAUUCGAAACUGGCAGGCUAGAGUCUUGUAGAGG